rnacentral:rRNA from 1 species
UACGGGGGGAGCAAGCGUUGUUCGGAUUUACUGGGCGUAAAGGGCGCGUAGGCGGUCAGCACAAGUCAGUUGUGAAAUCUCCGGGCUUAACUCGGAAAGGUCAACUGAUACUGUGCGACUAGAGUGCAGAAGGGGCAACUGGAAUUCUCGGUGUAGCGGUGAAAUGCGUAGAUAUCAGGAGGAACACUGCGGUGUAGACGGCUUACUGGACCAUAACUGACGCUGAGGCACGAAAGCGUGGGUAGCAAACAGG